rnacentral:lncRNA from 1 species
CAUUAUUAUUAUUAUUAUUAUUAUUAUUAUUAUUAUUAUUAUUAUUAUUAUUAUCAUGUUGUUGUUGUUAACUUUUUCUUCAGCUUUUGUUUUCUUAAAUGGUUGCUGCCAAUAUUUUCUAACUUCAAGAAGAUCUAGGUGGUUCUGCCAGAGGCUCUCUUGGUUUGUUGUCUGUAUUUAUGAAGGUUGUCAGAUGGAGAAGGUUUUGCUAGUUUUGUUACCUAGAUUGCAUGAGUGAGUGGGGGAAAAAAACAACCAAGAGAAGUGAAUGGCAUUGACCUGGGCUACUCCUGAUAAAUAAAAAAGGAAAAAAAGAUUGUUUUUAAAUUAAAAAAAAAAGAGAGAAGCUGAAUGGGCAACAUCAACUUUGUAUCUGAAUUAUCUCAACAUAAAUAUUAGAUUCACCUCAAGGACCAAAACUCUGUUGAGAAGGAAUAUAUCACCGUGUUGAUACAUGGUCUCAAUAACAUCCAACAACUUAUAUAUGUAAUAUACUGGACAGGAAAAUGUACUAUAAUAAUAAUAAUGAUGAUGAUGAUGAUGAUGAUGAUGAUGAUGGUAGUGGAUGGAUACAUCCAGAACAAUCAUCUUAUCUUUAAUGCUAUAAGAAUUCUGUUGAAUAUUCUUUGUCAGAAAUAAACUAUUAAAAACAGAAACAUAUAUAUAUAUAUAUAUAUAUAUAUAUAUAUAUAUAUAUAUAUAUAUAUAUAUAAAAACAAAAGGGACGUUUCCAAAUACAAUUUUCAAAUAAAAUAACCAAAACAAUUGGUAUAUUUCUAUAAAAAAAAUAAUAAAGAAAGAAAAAAAGAAAAAGUACUUUUGAUAAUAUGAACAUCGUUUUGAACACUCAGUGCUGUGAUGAUCUUCUUCUGCUUCUUGUGUCUUUCUUCCCUCUUCAUGCAUUUUAAUUCAGUUUGAUGGUAAUUUACUAUUAAAAGAAAGUAAAUUAUUUUUUAUAACUUUUACUUUGACAGAAAACUUUCAGCAAAGGAAAUAUUAUUUUCAAGUAUUAAUUAACAUAAAUUUUCCUUUUUUUUUUAAUUUUAUGAUUAUUCCAACAAAUUUCAGGUGAUUAACUUGUUGAAUUAUAACGGGGGAAAAGCAACAGAUAGGGUAGAGUAAUAAUCGGGAGUUUUUGAUGUUUUGGAUAGUCCUAAGUUGAGAUGACAAGAGCAGAAGGAAACAUUUUCACUGGAACCUGUUGGUGCUGUGAUUCUGAGAUUGAAUCUAAAAUGUCCUCACUGUUUGCUUGAGGGUCCAGAUUUGUGGUGUGCAGCAAUGCCACACUUUAAUAAAUAGGUAAUGAAAUGGUCCAUUGCUUUGAAGUGGGUGGUAACUAGUUGACAUGGUAUACAUCAUAGUCUUUGUGCUUGAGAAAGUGAUUGGCAAGGUGCCAGCUUGUUUUACACAUGUGGAGUUCACUGCAAAUUUUACUGAUAUUGAGAGAUGUGCAGCAGAAAUUUUGGAUGAUAUGGUACUAUGACUUAGACCCAGUAAUGGUUGUAGUGUUAUUGAUGUAGGAACAAGUAUUGCAUCAUCAGCAAGCACAUUUGAAAGUGCCUGGUUAUGUAUGGCUGGGUAUUGAAGAGCUUUUAAGUAGCUGCUGACAUUUCUUUCUUUCUUGAAGGUAAGGAAAGGUGAUAUAGAAAAACAUCUGAACAGUUGUUGAGUGAAAGAGUAGGAUUUGGAAAUUACAGAUGAGUAUGUGUUUCAGUGAAAGGUAAGGGAGAGUGGAAUCUGGUUGAAGUAAAUUCCAGGUGAAGGUGAUAGCACCAACACAGUCAUUAAUAUAACAUCUGUUCAGCUCUGGGGUAGAUCCCAUGAAUUGAGCAAAGAGUUGCUCCUCGUUAUGCUCUACAAAAAAGGUUUGCAUAAUCAGGCCCCAUCUUAGUUCCAUAGCAACCCCAAAGCAAUUAAGGACCAAAUUUAGUUAAGUGAAGGGAUACCAGUAGCAGCAGUCUAGGGAGUGUUUAAGGAUUGAUAGGCCAUCAUUGUGGGAGAUGAUUAUGCACAGAUUUAAUGUGUGAAGUGAAAAGGUGUUUUGACUCUCCAGAGGAGGUAGAGAGAAUGCAUUGAAGGAAUUUAGGGCGUGGUUGGUGGCUUUAAUAUGUGACACGACAACAGGUGAUAGCAUUUUGUUUAGGUGGAGAGAUUUUUAGCUGGGCAGUUAUAGACAGAGACAAUAGGAUGGCCAGGAUUGUCUGGUUUGUGAAAUUUAGAACAGAGUAGAUGAUAGAAGUUUAAAAGUGUAGUUACAGUGAAGUUAAUGGCAGAGUGCAGAAGUAAGCUGGAAGAAAUGCAUUCAGCCACAGCAUUGCCAACUUACUGUAGAAUGACAGUUUAUUAAGUUAACAGAGUGCUUCUCUGUAGAGGUUAGCUAUCUAAAUCAUGACAAUACCACUCUUACCUGAGAGUUUAAUGGUGAUAUCUUUCUAGUGUUCUGAAGGGUGAAAAGUUUCAAUGAGGCAUGGUUUGAUCAUUGUCACUUGUUGAUAUCCAAAUUGUAACUGCAUGUAUUUACAAAUAAAUUGAGCAUGUAGUAUAGGCCCAGGCUAGGUGUCCAGUUGGAGUUGUGCUUUUGGAGAUUGGUGAAAUCUUCCCCUGUCAGAGAUUCUGAUAUAGAAGAGGGACUUAAGUUGGAUCUAAUGGAAGAAAUGGUAUUGGCAUAUACAUCAAACAUUUACUUGGAGUGGGAGGAAGUUUAGAUCAUUACUUAAGGAGAACUUGUUUGGUAUCCAAGAGAGAGAGAGGGAGUUCUUACGAUGAACACUACAUAUAUUAUGAGCAUAUGAAAGAAGUGUGAUGCUGGUUGAAGAAUAUGCAAAAUUUGCAGAGUGAGUACCAAUAUGUAACGUUCACUAUAAUAAGUUUCAUGGGAAAG